rnacentral:rRNA from 1 species
UACGGGGGGGGGUAAGCGUUGUUCGGAAUUACUGGGCGUAAAGGGCUCGUAGGCGGCCAACUAAGUCAGACGUGAAAUCCCUUCAGCUUAACUGGGGAACUGCGUCUGAUACUGGAUGGCUUGGAUUCGGGAGAGGAAUGCGGAAUUCCAGGUGUAGCGGUGAAAUGCGUAGAUAUCAGGAAGAACACCCGUGGCUAAGGCGGCUCACUGGCCUGGUACUAACGCUGAGGUGCGAAAGCGUGGGGAGCAAACAGG